GUCUAUGGUCAUGCCACCCUGAAUGUGCCCAAUCUUAUCUGAUCUUGGAAGCUAAGCAGGGUUGGACCUGGUUAGUACUUGGAUGGGAGACCACCUAGGAAUACCAGAUGCUGUAAGCA
rnacentral:rRNA from 1 species